rnacentral:misc_RNA from 1 species
GAAAAGGUUUCUUUGAUCUACUAGGGGCAUAGAUAUGGCAGAUUUUGAAGCAGAUCUACCAAGGGCCGCUGCUUGUAGGGUAGCAAGACUUUGUGCAGGGAUUUGACCAGCAGCAGCAAUAGCUUGAAGAUCAAGCCCAUUGAGGGAAGAUAUUGUUCCGAAGGUUGCAUCUGGGCGUCCCAUGAAAGAGUUGUUCAGUCCAUUCUGGUGCUGCGAUACACCACUCAACCUUCUGAGAUACAACCGAUAUUUCUGAAGGUGGCUAGCAA